rnacentral:rRNA from 1 species
UACGUAGAAGACUAGUGUUAUUCAUCUUUAAUAGGUUUAAAGGGUACCUAGACGGUAUAAUUAGUCUAAAAUAAGAUACGGUUAUACUAGAGUUAUAUAUGAGGAGGUGAGUAUUUAUGGAGUAGAGUUGAAAUUCUGUCAUCCCAUAACGACUGGUAACGGCGAAAAGCAACCUUUUAUCUAAUAACUGACGUUGAGGGACGAAGGCUCGGGUAACGAACAGG